rnacentral:rRNA from 1 species
GUUGACCUCGGAUCAGGUAGGGAUACCCGCUGAACUUAAGCAUAUCAAUAAGCGGAGGAAAAGAAACCAACAGGGAUUGCCCUAGUAACGGCGAGUGAAGCGGCAACAGCUCAAAUUUGAAAGCUGGCCUUCGGGUCCGCAUUGUAAUUUGUAGAGGAUGCUUUGGGUGAAACGCCAGUCUAAGUUCCUUGGAACAGGACGUCAUAGAGGGUGAGAAUCCCGUAUGUGACUGGAAAUGUUAACCUAUGUAAAGCUCCUUCGACGAGUCGAGUUGUUUGGGAAUGCAGCUCUAAAUGGGAGGUAAAUUUCUUCUAAAGCUAAAUAUUGGCGAGAGACCGAUAGCGCACAAGUAGAGUGAUCGAAAGAUGAAAAGCACUUUGGAAAGAGAGUUAAAAAGCACGUGAAAUUGUUGAAAGGGAAGCGCUUGCAAUCAGACUUGUUUAAACUGUUCGGCCGGUCUUCUGACCGGUUUACUCAGUUUGGACAGGCCAGCAUCAGUUUCGGCGGCCGGAUAAAGGCUCUGGGAAUGUGGCCUUCACUUCGGUGAAGGUGUUAUAGCCCAGGGUGUAAUACGGCCAGCCGGGACUGAAGUCCGCGCUUCGGCUAGGAUGCUGGCGUAAUGGUUGUAAA